UUAGCUCAGUCGGUAGAGCACUGGUCUCCAAAACCAGGUGUCGGGAGUUCGAGUCUCUCAACC
rnacentral:tRNA from 1 species